rnacentral:sRNA from 1 species
AUUCUGCCCAUGCGGGGAAGGAUGAGAAGCUUCGACCAAGGUGCGACUCGAGCGCCAGCAAGAAAGCGUUGCCGCAGGCAACGACCCGAAGGGUGAAGCGCGCAGCGCUGAGUAAUCCUUCCCCCACCACCA